GACGAACCGAGCGAACGUUAUUCGGAAUCACUGGGCUUAAAGGGCGCGUAGGCGGGCGGUCAAGUCAGGGGUGAAAGCCCCCAGCUCAACUGGGGAAGUGCCUCUGAUACUGGCCAUCUUGAGGGAGGUAGGGGCGUGCGGAACUUCCGGUGGAGCGGUGAAAUGCGUAGAUAUCGGAAGGAACACCGGUGGCGAAAGCGGCGCGCUGGACCUCUUCUGACGCUGAGGCGCGAAAGCGUGGGGAGCAAACAGG
rnacentral:rRNA from 1 species